GCGCCCGUAGCUCAGUUGGAUAGAGUACCUGGCUACGAACUAGGGGGUCGGGAGUUCGAAUCUCUCCGGGCGCGCCA
rnacentral:tRNA from 11 species